AGCUAGCUUACUAAAUAUUAAGUGUUGGAUUAGUUAGGUUGCUGUGUUUCAUCUGAAGGUUUAUGGGCUAAGGUUAAGGUAAAUAAUGUGCAUUUAUUUAUCAGGUUGAUGGCAUUAAAGACCACGAUUAACUUCACCAAAGGACAUGGAAAUAUGUGCGUUCAAACCACCAGAAGGUGCAGUGCAACCAAGUCCACCAAGCCCCCCCAGGACACACAAAUCACUCAACAACAUAGAAUGACAAAAUGCCACCCCAAAUUGUCAGAUGGCACAGUUCAUGUCAAAAGCCCAAGGACUCAGAACAUGAAGCCAAAGAAGUAGAUGAUGACUCGGCCCAGUGACACCAAAUGGAAAAGCCCAUUGCAGUAGUCAACCCUACUGGAGAUGAAUGCAUCAAUAAGUUAUCUAAAUCAUGUUUUGACAUUAGACAUCUAAGUUUGGC